GAUGAACGCUGGCGGCGUGCCUAAUACAUGCAAGUCGAGCGAACAGACGAGGCGCUUGCUCCUCUGACGUUAGCGGCGGACGGGUGAGUAACACGUGGAUAACCUACCUAUAAGACUGGGAUAACUUCGGGAAACCGGCGCUAAUCCCGGAUAAUAUAUUGAACCGCAUGGGUCAAUAGUGAAAGACGGUUGUGCGGUCACUUAUCGAUGGAUCCGCGCCGCAUUAGCUAGUUGGUAAGGUAACGGCUUACCAAGGCAACGAGGCGUAGACGACCUCAGAGGGUGAUCGGCCACCCUGGAGCGGAGACAGGGACAAGGCGCCUGCGGGAGGCAGCAGUAGGGAAUGUUAGGCAAUGGGGGAAAGCAUGACGGAGUAAGGCCGAGCGAGUGAUGAAGGUCUUCGGAGCGUAAAGCUCGGUUAUUAGGGAAGAACAAAUGUGUAAGUAACUAUGCACGGCUUGACGGUACCGAGUCAGAAAGCCACGGCUAACUACGUG
rnacentral:rRNA from 1 species